CUUUCAGUCGGAUACACAAGGCUAAAAACUCUUCUACUUGUUAUUACAAAUAUUUUUAUUAUAUUCAAUGUCUUUUUUUAAAUGCGAGCCAAAAGUUUCUGCCACAGCAAAUGCAAAGCUUCGCAAUAUACGAUUGUUAAGGAGGCUGAAUACUACAUAAAAGCUUUGCGACUAUGUUGUUGCUUCUGUUUUUUUGGUGCAAAAUAUAAUAUUCACUGGUAUUGCUGCCGCCAGCACCUCUAAUUUUCUUUGCCCCAUGCUAUGAUUGGGCGCCGAGUGGCGAGCGGUCAGCUAUUGGCGUCGACUGUAGGCCAAUAAAAGACUUAGUUUAAUUGGUCUUUGGUUUUAGUCAAAAACAAAUUGCGCGAGUUGUUACGACGGGCCAGAACACGUUUAAAGUUUAUCGGAUAAUCAUACGAAGAAGCUCGACUUUUAUAAAUUGAAAGCCGCUAAACGAGAAUGAAUAACUGUGACUAAAUAACAUAAAAAUUUAUGAGUACCAUUUGUGACUAGUCUUUCUUAGCUCGCAAUAUGUAUUUUGAGUGACAGCUAAAACGAAAACGGUCAUGUAUGACUCAAGUCAGAAUAUUCAACCGAGCAAAAAAGAAUUGGAGUGGGAGUGUGAGUGCGAGUACAUGAGUGAUACAUGAUAAGUUUGCAUACAGCCACAAAAAUGAUCAUACAUGUAGCAUGGCACUAUAAGCGUGUGCAUGCUUGUCGCGAACCGAUUUCAAUUUUUCUGCUCUAUUGCUUGUGAGCACAUAGGGGAGAGAUCAUAGGGAGACAGAAAAAACCACAUUUGGCUUCAAAUUGGGGACAUAAUUGGUUGGUCUG